rnacentral:rRNA from 1 species
UACGUAGGGGGCAAGCGUUGUCCGGAAUCAUUGGGCGUAAAGCGCGCGUAGGCGGCCCGGUAAGUCCGCUCUGAAAGUCCAGGGCUCAACCCUGGAAAGCGGGUGGAUACUGCCGGGCUAGAAUCCGGAAGAGGCGAGUGGAAUUCCUGGUGUAGCGGUGGAAUGCGCAGAUAUCAGGAGGAACACCUAUAGCGAAGGCAGCUCGCUGGGACGACACUGACGCUGAGACGCGAAAGCGUGGGGAGCGAACAGG